GAUCUGUCAUCUUAAACAGAGCAGCUGCUCCAGACGCAGUCAGCAAACAGUUGACAAUUGGCGCUCGUUAGGUGAACACAGGGCACAAAACAAGAGGGAAGUUGGUCAGACUUAAGACUUAUGUUUUGCUUACAAGUCGAACUAUAAGUACGACAAACGCUUCCGGGCGGAUUGCGGCUUAUAUACCAAGCGUUAUAUAUAGAGUGGAUCUCUGGCUGAGAAGCGCCAUUCAAGUUAAUUUGCUCCAAUUAUGAAAAUGCCCAUGUGCUCAUUAAACUUAAUUGAGAACUGAGAAAAGAAGAAGGCGAACCAGAGAAGACGCUCUACAAGCACAAAUAAAAACAAAAGAUUGGUAUAUCUAAAAAACUGAGUGAAUGAGUGAAUAAAAUGAUUGAAUGACAUUCGUGCCAAACGGAUCAACGGAUUUUCUUUAACUACCAUCAUCUCCUCCUCCAUAAAAAUACUUCAAGUUUUUUGUCGAGAACUAAUGUCGCUGCUGAUGCUGAUGCCGCUGAGAGGCUAAAAAUAUGAAACAAAAACAUAAGGGGCAUGCUCGUCGGAUCGACGAAGAUGGAACAUAGAAGCGGUUGUAAGCUGUAAGGCUAAAAGAGCUGAAAGCAAAAAGAGCUAUAAAUUUGCAGCCACAUUCUUUGGGAACGGGCCAAAGCCGCCGAACAGGUUGAACUACUUUGGUUGAGCAGAAAUCGCAGCGGCAGCAGAACCAUGGCCAAUAAUUCCGAGUUCCAACUUGAGAGCUCCAGCUGCACAUGCAAGACCGGACAUUCGAUGGACUUUUUAGGAGCGGCAUGACUUCGACAUCGCCCAGAACCAGCGAUUGGAUAAAGCUGCCCCGCUCUAUAAAUAGAGCCCUGGUCGAGCCUUAUCAGCCUCGAUCCGCGUGGCCAGAGUUUCGCUUUUCAAGUCUCUGGCUUUUUUCCUUUUCUUUUCUUUUUGUUUUUCACUCGCUCUCGAGUGGCCAUAAAAAUUUGUUGCAUUUCCGUUGGCUUGUACAUGAAAAUAUGCAGCAACUCUCCUCUUGCAACUUGCAACUUGCGGCCUGCGACUGACAACUUGCAACGCUGAAAACUGGAGCAACAACAAAGGCUGGGCAGCAUUUUCCGAGUAACUCAUUUCUCAUGUCUUUACUUUCAGCUCUUCAAAGUUAUCAUUAAUCUCGGCACAGCAACGAGAUGCACACAGCACACAUCUAUCUGUCGGCUAUGCUAUUCGUAUGCGAUACAAGAUCGUUGCCGGUAAUUAAAAUUUCUCACAUAUGUAUGUAUGUAUUUACAUAGUCGGUGAUUAUACGAGGCGAUAGCUUCGUGGAAAACAAGGUGGCAAUUAGGCGGUGCUGAAAACCAGCCAUAUAAUGCAAAUAGUUGUUAUUCCACGAUCCGUAGAACAGAAUGGAUUACUCUCACCAUCUUUUAAAUGCCAGCAAAAGAGGAAAUGUUUACAGCACAGCCAACUGCAAUCC
ensembl:ncRNA lncRNA:CR45156 long non-coding RNA:CR45156